rnacentral:lncRNA from 1 species
AAGGCAUAUCGGGCACACCCUGUAACACACACAAACACACACACACACACACACACACACACACACACGAGCUCCAGACCUGCAGGGGCCAAUGGAAAGCUUCGGAGCAUACUCCCCAGCCACUGCAAGAAGCCCAGUCUGAACCUAGCAGGAAGAACGGCACCAGGAGCAGCCAGCAGAGCCCUGAUGAAGGGCCUGAACUGUCAUCGUGGAAGAAAACCUGUAUGUGACAUCUCUGCCCACGAUCCAGGCCCAGAGCUGGAUCCUUACACACUGUGUCUCACUGACUCCCAGCUUUAUCCCCACGGGGAAACAGAAGAAACAGGGAAGCAAGACCACUGGCCUCAGGACAAUAAAAAAAGGACAGAGCCGAAGCCAAGGGCCAAAGAAGCCUGGGCUGGUGAACCUCACACUUCUCUUUUGAUGACGAUGAGAGCUGUUCAUCUGUGUCACACUCACUUUCUUCCCAGCCGCAGCCGCAGCCCCACACUGUGUGAGAAGCUGAGAUCAAAGGCCGUCAAUGACUUUCCUUCAUGUAAACCAAAGAACUUGACAAAAUUCCUGCUUGCCACCAAGCUGGGCUUCUAAAACUCCUCUUUUCUGUGGGCAAAAUAGUAUCAAUGUGUUAUUUUAUUUAAAUACACAGGGAGAGAGAGAGAGGGAGAGAGAGACUAGAGGAAGGAGGAGAGUUAAAAAAGAAGGAGGAGCAGGGAAGCAGGGAGGAGCUUGGGGGAGGGGCAGUGUGGACAAAUGGGUUCCCAGCCAUGGAUGGGCCCUUUGGUGUUCUGCUCUACGUUCUCA